rnacentral:rRNA from 1 species
CAGCAGCCGCGGUAAUACGAAGGGUGCAAGCGUUACUCGGAAUUACUGGGCGUAAAGCGUGCGUAGGUGGUGGUUUAAGUCCGUUGUGAAAGCCCUGGGCUUAACCUGGGAAUUGCAGUGGAUACUGGAUCACUAGAGUGUGGUAGAGGAUAGUGGAAUUUCCGGUGUAGCAGUGAAAUGCGUUGAGAUCGGAAAGAACACCAACGGCGAAAGCACUCUGCUGGGCCGACACUGACACUGAGAGACGAAAGCUAGGGGAGCAAAUGGGAUUAGAUACCCCGGUAGUCCCUGUCUCUUAUAC